UGCCUACCAUGCAGUCGAACGACCCCUCGGGGUUAGUGGCGCACGGGUGCGUAACUGCGUGGGAAUCUGCCCUUGGGUACGGAACAACAGUUAGAAAUGACUGCUAAUACCGUAUAAUGACUCCGGUCCAAAGAUUUAUCGCCCAAGGAUGAGCCCGCGUCGGAUUAGCUAGUUGGUGAGGUAAAAGCUCACCAAGGCGACGAUCCGUAGCUGGUCUGAGAGGAUGAUCAGCCACACUGGGACUGAGACACGGCCCAGACUCCUACGGGAGGCAGCAGUGGG
rnacentral:rRNA from 1 species